rnacentral:rRNA from 1 species
UACGUAGGGGGCGAGCGUUGUCCGGAUUUAUUGGGCGUAAAGAGCUCGUAGGCGGCUUGUCGCGUCGAAUGUGAAAUCUCGGGGCUCAACUCCGAGCUUGCAUUCGAUACGGGCAGGCUAGAGUUCGGUAGGGGAGACUGGAAUUCCUGGUGUAGCGGUGAAAUGCGCAGAUAUCAGGAGGAACACCGGUGGCGAAGGCGGGUCUCUGGGCGAUACUGACGCUGAGGAGCGAAAGCGUGGGGAGCGAACAGG